ACAUGGAAAAUUUAAUAAACAUAUUAAAUAAAUGCAAUAUAUUGUAGCAGUUUGAUUUUCAUAGAUGUUUGUUGCACGAUAUGUAAACAUUUUAGGAAUAUGGAGGUCAUAUUUUCAGCGUAAAACAAAUUUAAAGGCCUUUAGUUUGCACUGAACUUGUCUUUCCUGGGUUCAUGCAGUGAUUCUAUGAUCACUGUCUGCAUUAUUAUGGUGUCCUUAACUGUUUCUAUGUGACAUUAUAUUAACAAAAUAUUGAAGAAUGCUUAUUAUUCAGUGGGGUAACUGUUAGUGACAAACAUUUAGUGUUAUGAAUAUGAAAUUGGUGCCUUAACUGCUUCCUUCUCUUGUUCAUUUGACCUUGUCUUCCUCCAUUUUGCAUUCAGAUUUUUACAAUGAUGAGAAAAACUUUAUAACUGUACCCAAAUUAUAUUAUCCCUUCCCUAGUGGCACUGUCAGUUAAUAUGUAAGCAUUCUACCUGCCUUUUCCCAUUUUCAUGAUGUGUUUUAUAACUGUUUCGAAUGGUUUGUCAGCUCUACCUGCCCACCAGCAGUGCAGCGAGGAGGCUGAGAAAGCAGAAGAGCUCAUCCUACACUGGACAGGAAUUAUCAGGAUAAGCUGAUCAAACUGAACAAAAUGGUGCAACUUUAGGUCGCUUAUGUUAGGGAAUUCUGCAAUGUCGAGAGACGAAUGAGGAGGCAGGCUCAGAGACACUCUGGAGGCUCCAAUGGCUUAUGUUAAGAAGAAGCUUUACUGAUAUCAGGAGAUGUAACACGACCAGAAACAGCGAUGUGAGCACUGGCAGCAUCAAUUCUCAGGAUUCUCUUCAAGCUUCGCAUCUGUCAUUCUGAGGGUCAUAUUAAGGACAGAGAGGGCCUGAAUGAGCUCCCAGCCUUAAUGUGGAAGAAGCAAAAAGGACCUGUAGGAUCAUUUCAGGAUUUUGUCGGUGUGUCCUCCCUCCAACGUCACCUCCAGGUUGGACAGGGCGGCCUCCACUUCAUCGAUUUCCGGCUCGUUGGAGUGAUCCAGCGGCUCGCUUGACAUGUCCUUGUGAAGUUCUCCGACGUGACUGGAGAGGUUAUGCAAGGCUGGCGUGAGUCAGAGGGAGGAUUGAGCAGCCAUUGCAGCAGUGUGUAGGUGACUUUUGAAUCCCUCUGGUUUCUGAAUCAUUGUGUAAAAAGCAAAGCUGAAGGCACCAGAGAUGAGCUGAAAUUUACACACAGAGAAGGUGACAGAUCAAACUUAUGGUCAACAUGAGUUUCUUUUUUCUGGAGCUGUAAUUCUUACUAUUCUACCUUUAUCUGCUCUCUCUUCGUCUCUCCACGGGAUUUUCUUCUUGUCCUGACACGUCCUCUCAAGGAUUUCGACUCCAAACUCUCUCUCCUCUAUUCUCAGCUCCAACAAAAACAUAUUCUGUACUUAAAACUAAUCUAAGCCCCGUUACUAUAACCCUGGAGCACUGUAAUCCACAAUAAAUGACACAAUUUAUCAGUCAGAAACUUUAAAAACAAAGAAUUACCAUAUUAGAUUUCCUACUUUCUGAUGAUCUUUGAAUUAUUUAUUCCUUAAUUUUCAUGAGCAAUAUUUCAAUUUCAUCCACAAUAUUCCAUUUUUUCUUCAGUGUCACUGGCAGAAUUACCUCAGCUAGUUACUUAAAUGCACUUAUUUAUUUUAAUUUAGUAAUGUAUCAUAUUUAUUUAUCACUAUUUUUCUAUUAGAUGCUGCUUUUGCUCUGCAUAAUAUCUCGAGUUUCCUUUGGUAGUAAGGAAGCUUUAACUUAUCUACUCAUCUGUAACACACGUUCCGUCAGAAAAAGAAACCAAAUCAAAGCUUAAAAUCAAGAUAUUUCAUUAAAAUCUCUGUAUUCUACAUGUCUUGUUUUGCAAAUUCAUAAAAAAAUACACAGUUUAGUCGUCGUCAGUGACUCGGUUUCGACCAACAGUGAUGGAAGAAAAAUUUGGGCAAUGUUUGGCUGAACUGCAGUGAAAAAUUUAAAGCUUUUUUUGUUUUAAUUUGGUUGAUUAUGUCUCAUUAAAAUCAGAAAUGCAUUAUCAUUUAUUUAUUAUUUUGAGACAGGUUUUUGAAAUCCUGUUUGAGCUGUAGGUCAUAAUUAUCAAAUCUAAAAAAGUGAAAUACUUCAAACAUUUUAUUUUACAUGUGAAUAUGAAUCCAGAAGAUAUUACAUUUUCUAUUUCUUAAAUAGCUGAUGAAAAACAUGAACGUUUUUUAUGAUAUUCUAAUCGGUUGAGCUGCACUAGUAGUUGUAAAACCAAUGUAUAGUCCUCUUCCAUUUUGUUUUUUGUUAAUUUAAAGUUCUUUAUUUUGUUAAGCUAGAGCAGGUGUUGAAAUCUUCCGGUUAGAAGUUCUCUUUUAGUUGAUUAUGUGCUACUUCCUUUUCCCCUGGUGAGCGAGGUCAUAACAAUUUAUCAUCAGCAACUUUAAUUGUACACUAAAACAAUGGCAACAACUGCAAACGCUUCUUCAACUAGUAAAAUGAAUAACUCUUAAUUUGUUGUCUUAUUAUGGGCUGUCACAGUCCCAUGAUGUCAUGUUAUUUAUUAUUUGUAGCUUACAGUCUAUUUAUAGUUAUGGCCCCAUUUUUUUACUGUUAUCUUGUAAAUUAAUAGCGAUCAACUAAAACAUCAUAGUAAAAAGAACUUGUGAUUCAUGUCACCUGCCUUUUUUUAAAUGUUGGUUACAUUAAAUGAUCAUUUACUGAUUUUCCUCAGCUAGAAAUUAUUAUCUUGCCCAAAAGAAGAGUUUAAAAUAUGCAGAAUGGUUUGUUUUCUCCUAGAACUCUGAAGGUUCACCUGUAAUGAAGCAAACAUGAGCAUCUCCUCCUCAGUGCAGUCGAUCUCCUCCAGCAGGAUGGACCAGCGAGCCUGUUCGUACAGCUGUGUUAUCCUCACAGCGUCGUACUACACAAAGACAAAAACACACAAACACAUGUUCAGUUCAACAAUAGCAAACUUAAACUGCCUCACUGUUAUUUUAGGACACACUCAGGGUUUCUUUACUUUAGGAUUCAGGUCAAAGAAGACGUUGUACUUGAAGCGAAGCAGCAGCUUGUCGUCGUCUUGGAUGUCCUGCUCCAUGAGGGAACGAGACGAGUCCAACCACCUGAAAAACAACCAAUCAGAAGAGCUGUAGUAAACUGAUGCACCAAGAAGGACCUACCUGUUCCUCCUGGACCUCCGCUGAGUAAAUCGAUGUCCCAGAGUUCCUCCUGAGGCGAGUUCUUGUCUCUCUUCUUCUUCUUCUUGGACGGA